CGUCCAAUUCUCUUUAUUUGUUUUUUGCUUUUUUUCUGUUUUGUUUUGUUUUGUUUAAAGAACGGUAUUUAACUAUGUCCUCUCUUAUUCAUAGUUUUCGAAUCAAUUAGAGAAGCGAGGGCGUUUUUUUCAUCUGCUAUUUUAGGAAAAUUAUUGCCAAGAACUGCUUUAGGCGUUUUCUAGUCGAGAUCAUGUCUUUAUUUUGUUUGCCGGUUUGUUAUUGUUCUGUUAUUUGCUUCGCUGUUGUAUAAGUAUCGGAACUAGCAAGUUCAAACCCACUUCAUUCAGUCAAGAUUUUUGAUUAACGCUUGCACAGUAAAGGCAACCUCAGGUAAAACUUGCAAAGCAAACGAGUUGUUCGACAAUGUUAAAAUUCGCCGUACUAGUUCUUUUUUUGCAUUCCUUCAUUGUCUCCGACGGUAUGACGCGCAUCGGUCGUUCAAUGACGUCAUACAGACGAGACCGUCAUUUCUUUAAACCAGAAGAGAUGAGAAGUCYGAGAGCAACGCACGGGACAGGGGAUUUCGGUUCCGAGGAUUAUGAAGUAGGCAAUUCUCACGGCUACAAAACGAGGCUACAUAGCGGUCACAGGGCAGAACAGUUUGGCGCCUUUCCUGUUGUCGUGGUAACAAGUAAAAAAAGAUUAAUUGCCUUAAAAUUGCGUCAAAAAGAAAAGAGAAACAACUUUGUUGAUGAUGACCCAAAAGUUGCAGGUGAAAAGGUCUUGCGUAGAUUGGACGUAAGCAGAAUGUUUUCAAGAUACAAUAGACUUGCAGAUGGUCAAAAUAGAUACUAAGCAAGUUUACACUGACGGUUCAAAUGUGUAGGGACAACUGGUCAUUCAGGAAUGAAUUCACAGGAUUUUAGUUGUCGAUUGUUGUAUAAAAUAGUUUGUAGUUUCGAAUUGUUAGAAAUAAAAACAGUAAAGAUC